rnacentral:lncRNA from 1 species
AGGUUGCCUGUCCAGAUUCCAUUAAAACAAGAUAGUAGCUGCUGCACCACCUGAAAUGCAUGGAGAUUAAUAUAACUGCUAACAAACCUUUUCCUUCUGGCUUCUUUCAAGACUAUCACAAUUGUUUCCACUCCUUUCAGCAAGUAGAUUGCUGCAAAAACAAAACAAAACAGGAACCUAUAGAUCUGGAAGACAUCCACUCCUCUGGAUACACCCAUAUUCUAAGCACAAAAUGCCACCAUACCACCAUCUAAUUUUCUUAAGUGUACUCCAGCAGCAUAAGACAACAAUUCAGCACUUCAUUCCUUCUCAAAGCUUAACAAAUAAACCACCCAAAGACACCAAUGUACCUUAAGCUGGACCACUCCCCUCUUAAAAAAAAAAAAAAAAAAAUUGUCAUGGAAGCUCACCUGCUUGACUGACUGCUGAAAUGAAAGGGAAGGCUGGUAACAGAGGCUGUAAUUGGAGAGAAGAAAGUAUUAGAAUCAGCUGGAAGCUCUGAUAGGUGGUAGCUCCCCACCUGAGCUUAUGCUCCUAAAGUAAUUGUUACUUGUUUUGUUCUAAAUCUUUUUUUUUUUUCACUGUUCUGAGGAGUUAUUUUCAGAUCAAAAACAGCCACUUGUGCUGCAUUGUAGAAAACCAGAUGCGGUUAUCUACAGGUGGGGUGUGAUUUUGAUUGUACUGUAAUUUUGAACACGCAACAAAACUAAAACUAAAAUUAAAAAAAAAAAAAACACGUGGGGAGAGCAGCUGUGGCAUGGUGGUGAGUCCCUGGGAAAGCCAUCAUCUGGCGGAAGAAAGCCCAGGGAGACUUCUCAGAGGUAAGAAGCCUUCAAAUGUACAGGGACCCCUAACUCGUGUGUCGAGUGUGCGAGACAAACGUCUGUGGCAUGAAGAUCAAGGACGACUUCUCAGAGUUCACCAGGGCAGAAGCAGCUCCCCGCCGCUAGGACCCCUGUGGGUUUUGUUGCCGAGCGAAGGUGGCGCACCAGCUAAACCAAGAAAAGCUGCAGCUGGUGUGCUGCAGUUGCAGGUUUCCCAGGAGAAAGAGCAGCUCGUCUGUCCCGACUGUCCAGAAGAUGUCCCGGAUUUAAAGAUGAUGUGUAUUAAAUGAAGUAUGAGAAGAAACAGCUUCUUCCGACACUUGCGCUCCUUUUCUUCAGCUCAUGCAGAAGGCUGACAGCCUGUCUCACUCUCUUCAGUGCUAUCCCACCAGCUCCUUUAGGAGCUCAGCACCACAUUUGGCCUGUUGUGAUCUUCCCGAUCUCCUCAUUUCUGUGCUGCAACACCACCAUCCACGAGAAGUCAAGUAGGAUCUGAAGACCUUUGACAUUGCUAAAGAAUCAAACCUCAGCUGUCAUUUUUAGCCCUUUGUAUUCCAGAUGUUUGCUUUGCUGGACGAUGGUUUCAUUUUUGAUUUUGUAAUAUGUUCUUUGUAGAGGUUAUUUUAAGCAGACAAGUAGGUAGCCUCCUUCCUUCAGUGGAAUUGUGUGGGUUUUAGCUGAGCUU